rnacentral:rRNA from 1 species
GACGGAGGAGGCAAGCGUUAUCCGGAAUUAUUGGGCGGAAAGCGCCCGCAGGUGGCGAUUCAAGUCUGCUGUCAAAGGUCGGGGCUUAACCCCGGGAAGGCAGUGGAAACUGAAUAGCUAGAGUGCGCUAGGGGCAGAGCGAAUUCCCGGUGUAGCGGAAAUAUACGUAGAGUUCUGGAAGAACACCCGUGGCGAAAGCGCUCUGCUGGGCCUGCACUGACACUGCGCGACGAAAGCUAUAGGAGCGAAUGGG